rnacentral:rRNA from 1 species
AUUGAACGCUGGCGGCAUGCUUUACACAUGCAAGUCGAACGGUAACAGGUUAAGCUGACGAGUGGCGAACGGGUGAGUAAUGCAUCGGAACGUGCCCGGUCGUGGGGGAUAACGCAGCGAAAGCUGCGCUAAUACCGCAUACGACCUGAGGAUGAAAGCGGGGGACCGUAAGGCCUCGCGCGAUCGGAGCGGCCGAUGUCAGAUUAGGUAGUUGGUGGGGUAAAGGCUCACCAAGCCGACGAUCUGUAGCUGGUCUGAGAGGACGACCAGCCACACUGGGACUGAGACACGGCCCAGACUCCUACGGGAGGCAGCAGUGGGGAAUUUUGGACAAUGGGCGCAAGCCUGAUCCAGCAAUGCCGCGUGCAGGAAGAAGGCCUUCGGGUUGUAAACUGCUUUUGUACGGAGCGAAAAGGCUCUCUCUAAUACAGGGGGCUCAUGACGGUACCGUAAGAAUAAGCACCGGCUAACUACGUGCCAGCCGCCGCCGUAA